rnacentral:rRNA from 1 species
GAUGAACGCUAGCUACAGGCUUAACACAUGCAAGUCGAGGGACCGGCGCACGGGUGAGUAACACGUAUCCAACCUGCCCUUUACUCGGGGAUAGCCUUUCGAAAGAAAGAUUAAUACCCGAUAUAAAGGAUGGGGAUGCGUUCCAUUAGUUUGUUGGUGAGGUAACGGCUAACAAAGCCUUCGAUGGAUAGGGGUUCUGAGAGGAGGGUCCCCCACAUUGGAACUGAGACACGGUCCAAACUCCUACGGGAGGCAGCAGUGAGGAAGAUUGGUCAAUGGGCGCUAGCCUGAACCAGCCAAGUAGCGUGAAGGAUGAAGGCCUCGGGUUGUAAAGCACUUUUGGCAGGAAAGACGGUACCUGCAGAAUAAGCACCGGCUAACUACGUGCCAGCAGCCGCGGUAAUUC